rnacentral:rRNA from 1 species
CUUUACUUUAGUUUAACUGGGGCAGUUAAUUAAUAAAAAUUUUAAUAAAGAUUAAGUACUAAAUAGANNNCCCAACANUAGUUGAUUACANUGAACAAGUUACUGUAGGGAUAACAGCGUAAUAUAUAUCUAAAGUUCUUAUUUUGAUAUAAGUUUGCGACCUCGAUGUUGAAUUNAUAUUACUUUCAAGCGCAAGAGCCUGAAAAGUGGGUCUGUUCGACCCCUAAAUAUAUACAUGAUUUGAGUUCAAAUCGGUGUAAACCAGAUUGGUUUCUAUCUAUUNUUAUUUGUGUCUUAGUACGAAAGGACCUGAAACAAUAUUAUAUAAUNAUUUAUAUGGCAGAAAAAUGCUUUAGAUUUAGGAUCUAAUUAUAAUAGAUUAUUAUACUCUAUUUAACUUGCCUAAUCUCUGUUAUUAGAAUCCUUAUCGCAGUAGCUUUUUAUACCCUCCUAGAGCGAAAAAUU